UUGGAUGUGAAUUGAUUUAUGUUUGGAUACAUUCAGUUAAAAAUGAUUCUUAUGAGUUAACGUUGUUUGGAUAG
rnacentral:pre_miRNA from 1 species